rnacentral:rRNA from 1 species
UACGGAGGGUGCAAGCGUUAUCCGGAUUCACUGGGUUUAAAGGGUGCGUAGGUGGUCUGUUAAGUCAGCGGUGAAAGCCUGGAGCUCAACUCCAGAAUUGCCAUUGAUACUGACGGACUUGAAUCAAGUUGAGGUGGAUGGAAUAUUACAUGUAGCGGCGAAAUGCUUAGAUAUGUAAUAGAACACCAAUUGCGAAGGCAGUUCACUAAGCUUGUAUUGACACUGAGGCACGAAAGCGUGGGGAUCAAACAGG